UUCCAAGCCACCAACUGUCAAGGAGUGACCGUUACUGAGAGAAUUCAACCAACUGUUGGCGGAAUGGUGGUCAUUAGGUAGAGAGUGAGAUUUAAAGUCUUGAGCAGAAGCACCUGAUCGGCCAAGACUGGAUUACACACUUGAGCCCAAACUUCCAGAGACAGUGAAAUCAAGGAUCAGGAUCAUUCACUGAAGUCUACAAAAUAGAGAAUUCCCGGAAACACAGGAAAGGGCUCCUUCAAAUUCUCUAUGCAUUUCCACUACAUCUGCUAUACUUAGGGUUAUCUCUAUCAAGCGUACCUACAGAUGUAUUUAUUAUACAGGUUCUACUGCAUGUCAGAGACUCAAAGUAACAGUGACUUACAUAAGAAUAACAAAUCAACAGCCUUGUGCAUUGAUGGAUGAAUGGAUAAGUGAAAAUGUGGCAGAUACACACAAUGGAAUAUUAUUCAGCUUUAAAUAGGAUGGAAAUUCUGACAUAAGAUAUUUGAGCAGACUUUGGAAGACAGUGAAAGACAGAGGAGCCUGGCAUGCUACCAUCCCUGGGAUCACAAAAAUUUGGAUACAACUUACCAACGGAACAACAACACAAGAUGAAAAGAGAUUUGCAGAUGAAUGGUGAUGAUAUUUGUACAACAGUGCUAAUAUACACAAUAGCACUGAACUGUACAUUAAAAUGGUUAAGAUAGUAAAUUUUGUGUUAUGUGUAUUUUACCACAAUAGCAAAAAUUUGGAAAAAAUGAUCAGUAGCUUUAUCUGAAUUCCCCAUGAAUACAAUGGACUGGUCUUCUACAUUAUUCGUUUCUAGUACCUACCUUUAGACUUCUUCAAGCAGUGUUUUUAUAGCACUCUAAGUGCCUAUAAGUGCUAUCAUAUCGCAGGGU